rnacentral:rRNA from 1 species
AGGCUUUGAUCCUGGCUCAGAUUGAACGCUAGCGGCAUGCCUUACACAUGCAAGUCGAACGGCAGCGGGCUCUUCGGAGCGCCGGCGAGUGGCGAACGGGUGAGUAAUACAUCGGAACGUACCCAGUAGCGGGGGAUAGCCCGGCGAAAGCCGGAUUAAUACCGCAUACGCCCUACGGGGGAAAGGGGGGGAUCGCAAGACCUCUCACUAUUGGAGCGGCCGAUGGCUGAUUAGCUAGUUGGUGGGGUAAAGGCCUACCAAGGCGACGAUCAGUAGCUGGUCUGAGAGGACGACCAGCCACACUGGGACUGAGACACGGCCCAGACUCCUACGGGAGGCAGCAGUGGGGAAUUUUGGACAAUGGGCGAAAGCUGAUCCAGCAAUGCCGCGUGUGCGAAGAAGGCCUUCGGGUUGUAAAGCACUUUUGUCAGGAAAGAAAUUGUCUGGGCUAAUACCCCGGGCCGUUGACGGUACCUGAAGAAUAAGCACCGGCUAA